UACGUAGGGUGCAAGCGUUGUCCGGAAUUAUUGGGCGUAAAGAGCUCGUAGGCGGUUUGUCGCGUCUGCUGUGAAAACCUAAGGCUCAACCUUGGGCUUGCAGUGGGUACGGGCAGACUAGAGUGCGGUAGGGGUGACUGGAAUUCCUGGUGUAGCGGUGGAAUGCGCAGAUAUCAGGAGGAACACCGGUGGCGAAGGCGGGGUCUCUGGGUAGUAACUGACG
rnacentral:rRNA from 1 species